CCCUUAGAUGUCCUGGGCCGCACGCGCGCUACACUGAGUGUCUGAGAUACGAGUCUGCCUGGUCCGGCAAGGUCUAGGUAAUCGCUAAAAGACACAUCAUGCUUGGGAUAGAUUAUUGCAAAUAUUAAUCUUGAACGAGGAAUUCCUAGUAAGCGCGAGUCAUCAGCUCGUGCUGAUUACGUCCCUGCCCUUUGUACACACCGCCCGUCGCUGCAACUGAUUGGGUGACCUGGUGAACAUCUUGGACCGGUCCACUCAAUUUCGAGAGGACUGGAAAAGGCCGUAAAUCAGGUACAUCUAGAAAUUGCAAAAGUCGUAACA
rnacentral:rRNA from 1 species